UACGUAGGGUUCAAGCGUUAUCCGGAAUCACUGGGCGUAAAGCGUGCGUAGGUGGCGUGUUAAGUGCAAUGCGAAAUCCUGUGGCUCAACCAUAUGGACUGUAUUGCAUACUGGCAUGCUAGAGGACGGCAGAGGCAAGUGGAAUUACCGGUGUAGCAGUGAAAUGCGUAGAGAUCGGUAGGAACACCAAUGGCGAAGGCAGCUUGCUGGGCCGACCCUGACGCUAAGGCACGAAAGCGUGGG
rnacentral:rRNA from 1 species